AAUUUAAUUGUGCAAUUCAAUUUAAUUUGAUAAUUUUAUCUUACUUUUAUUUUUUUAUAAUUUAUG
rnacentral:tRNA from 1 species